GAUGAACGCUAGCGGCAGGCCUAAUACAUGCAAGUCGAACGGUGUCUUCGGACAUAGUGGCGCACGGGUGCGUAACACGUAUGCAACCUACCUUACAUUGGGGGAUAGCCUUUCGAAAGGGAGAUUAAUACCGCAUAAGACAGUAGCUGGGCAUCCAGCAGCUGUUAAAGAUUUAUCGAUGUAAGCUGGGCAUGCGUCCAAUUAGCUAGUUGGUGAGGUAACGGCUCACCAAGGCAAUGAUUGGUAGGGGAACUGAGAGGUCAAUCCCCCACACUGGCACUGAGAUACGGGCCAGACUCCUACGGGAGGCAGCAGUAGGGAAUAUUGGGCAAUGGACGCAAGUCUGACCCAGCCAUGCCGCGUGCAGGAUGAAGGCGUUAUGCGUUGUAAACUGCUUUUAUACAGGAAGAAACGACUCUUGCGAGAGGCAUUGACGGUACUGUAUGAAUAAGCACCGGCUAACUCCGUGCCAGCAGCCGCAGUAA
rnacentral:rRNA from 1 species